ACAGAGUGAAACUCUGUCUCAAAAAUAAAUAAAUAAAUAAAUAAAUAAACUAAUAAAUAAAUAAAUGAAAGAAUGAGGCUACAGGAAGAGACAGAGUAUUUUCCUAGACAUCUCCGUUAAAGAGAAACGAUCACAUGUUUGGCCCCUCUUCCACAGUACUAGGAAGCCACUCCUUCUCCCCACAGUGCAACAACCCACAUGCAGCCCCUAUUGUGACCAUCUUGGUACCUUCCUGGCCACCCAGGAAGUACUCUUCAGCUUCCGCAUCUGUCCCACCAGCCUAUUUCCUCUCUGCAUAACAGGAGAAUGAAUCCGUUUUCACGUUACAACAUCUUUUAAAAGCUCCAUGCAAAUACGCAGUCAACGUCAAAAAGUUGUGUUAUAAAAUGGUAGCUAUAAAAGACUGUAUUGCUUUUGUAACCGAAAAAUUCAGUCAUUAGUACCCACAGGCUGUUCAUUCAGUACCAGAAAUAGUCAGCGUUCCUAAUUAUACUUUUGGAAAACAGUUAAUCUUCUACAAUGCUGCCCGCAGUUUUAGAGCUGAGGAGAUAGAAACCUGGAGACAUUUAAGGACUUGGGCAAUGCUGGCAACAUAGUAGAAGAAGACUCAAAUGCAUACCUUAAAGAAAUCAAAGAAACCCAUCAACUUGGCUUUUCCAAGCUCCUUUUCUUUCUCUUGGAAAAAG
rnacentral:lncRNA from 1 species